rnacentral:rRNA from 1 species
CUUCAUGGGUUGUUUUGAAGUUGUGCCUGCCCACUGAUGAUUGAAGGGCCGCGGUACUUUGACCGUGCAAAGGUAGCAUAAUCAUUAGUCUUUUAAUUUUGGACUGGAAUGAAAGGUUUGACGAGAUAAACGCUGUCUUUAUGGUAAAAGAUGAAUUUCACUUUUGAGUUAAAAGGCUCAAUUGAGGAUAAGGGACGAGAAGACCCUAUAGAUCUUUAUUGUUUAAAUUUUAUUUUUAAUUUAGAUGUUGAUGGGAAUAGAGGUUGAGUGAUUUAAUUGGGGUGAUGUGAGAAUUUUAUUAACUUCUUUUUUAUUUGUAUUUUGAUUGAUAGUUUAUUGAUCCUUUAAUAUGGAUUUAAGAUUAAGAUACCUUAGGGAUAACAGCGUUAUUUUGUUUGAGAGUUCUUAUUGACAACGAAGAUUGCGACCUCGAUGUUGGAUUAAGAUUAAAUUUUGGUGUAGUGGCUAAUUGAUUUGGUCUGUUC